rnacentral:lncRNA from 1 species
CCAACCCAGAAACCACCACCUCUCACGCCAAAGCUCACACCUUCAGCCUCCAACAUGAAGGUCUCCGCAGCACUUCUGUGGCUGCUGCUCAUAGCAGCUGCCUUCAGCCCCCAGGGGCUCGCUGGGCCAGUUCUGUCCCAACCACCUGCUGCUUUAACCUGGCCAAUAGGAAGAUACCCCUUCAGCGACUAGAGAGCUACAGGAGAAUCACCAGUGGCAAAUGUCCCCAG